UUCUCCCUGGUCUAGCGGUUAUGACAGCAGACUGUUACUCUGUGUAUCGUGUGUUCGAAUCACACGGGAGGAG